rnacentral:rRNA from 1 species
CGGACGGGUGAGUAACGCGUGGGUAACCUGCCUUGUACUGGGGGACGAACAGUUGGAAACGACUGCUAAUACCGCAUAAGCGCACAGCUUCGCAUGAAGCAGUGUGAAAAACUCCGGUGGUACAAGAUGGACCCGCGUCUGAUUAGCUGGUUGGUGAGGUAACGGCCCACCAAGGCAACGAUCAGUAGCCGGCCUGAGAGGGUGAACGGCCACAUUGGGACUGAGACACGGCCCAG